rnacentral:rRNA from 1 species
GAUGAACGCUAGCGAUAGGCUUAACACAUGCAAGUCGAGGGGCAGCAUGGUCUUAGCUUGCUAAGACUGAUGGCGACCGGCGCACGGGUGCGUAACGCGUAUGCAACUUGCCUCACAGAGGGGGAUAACCCGUCGAAAGACGGACUAAUACCGCGUACACUCUAUUUUGGGCAUCCAAGGUAGAGGAAAUGAAAUUCGCUGUGAGAUAGGCAUGCGUCCCAUUAGCUAGUUGGUGAGGUAACGGCUCACCAAGGCGACGAUGGGUAGGGGAACUGAGAGGUUGAACCACCACACUUGUACUGAGACACGGACCAGAAUGCGACGGGAGGCAGCAGUGAGGAAUACUGGGCAAUGGGCGAGAGCCUGAACCAGCCAAGUCGCGUGAAGGAUGACUGUCUUAUGGAUUGUAAACUUCUUUUGUAGGGGAAUAAAGAGGGGAACGUGUGCCCCAGUGAAUGUACCCUACGAAUAAGCAUCGGCUAACUCCGUG